rnacentral:rRNA from 1 species
AAAUUGAAGAGUUUGAUCAUGGCUCAGAUUGAACGCUGGCGGCAGGCCUAACACAUGCAAGUCGAACGGUAACAGGAAGCAGCUUGCUGCUUUGCUGACGAGUGGCGGACGGGUGAGUAAUGUCUGGGAAACUGCCUGAUGGAGGGGGAUAACUACUGGAAACGGUAGCUAAUACCGCAUAACGUCGCAAGACCAAAGAGGGGGACCUUCGGGCCUCUUGCCAUCGGAUGUGCCCAGAUGGGAUUAGCUAGUAGGUGGGGUAACGGCUCACCUAGGCGACGAUCCCUAGCUGGUCUGAGAGGAUGACCAGCCACACUGGAACUGAGACACGGUCCAGACUCCUACGGGAGGCAGCAGUGGGGAAUAUUGCACAAUGGGCGCAAGCCUGAUGCAGCCAUGCCGCGUGUAUGAAGAAGGCCUUCGGGUUGUAAAGUACUUUCAGCGGGGAGGAAGGGAGUAAAGUUAAUACCUUUGCUCAUUGACGUUACCCGCAGAAGAAGCACCGGCUAACUCCGUGCCAGCAGCCGCGGUAAUACGGAGGGUGCAAGCGUUAAUCGGAAUUACUGGGCGUAAAGCGCACGCAGGCGGUUUGUUAAGUCAGAUGUGAAAUCCCCGGGCUCAACCUGGGAACUGCAUCUGAUACUGGCAAGCUUGAGUCUCGUAGAGGGGGGUAGAAUUCCAGGUGUAGCGGUGAAAUGCGUAGAGAUCUGGAGGAAUACCGGUGGCGAAGGCGGCCCCCUGGACGAAGACUGACGCUCAGGUGCGAAAGCGUGGGGAGCAAACAGGAUUAGAUACCCUGGUAGUCCACGCCGUAAACGAUGUCGACUUGGAGGUUGUGCCCUUGAGGCGUGGCUUCCGGAGCUAACGCGUUAAGUCGACCGCCUGGGGAGUACGGCCGCAAGGUUAAAACUCAAAUGAAUUGACGGGGGCCCGCACAAGCGGUGGAGCAUGUGGUUUAAUUCGAUGCAACGCGAAGAACCUUACCUGGUCUUGACAUCCACGGAAGUUUUCAGAGAUGAGAAUGUGCCUUCGGGAACCGUGAGACAGGUGCUGCAUGGCUGUCGUCAGCUCGUGUUGUGAAAUGUUGGGUUAAGUCCCGCAACGAGCGCAACCCUUAUCCUUUGUUGCCAGCGGUC